GGCUCGUUGGUCUAGGGGUAUGAUUCUCGCUUUGGGAGCGAGAGGUCUCGGGUUCAAAUCCCGGACGAGCCC
rnacentral:tRNA from 1 species